rnacentral:hammerhead_ribozyme from 1 species
AUCCAGCCGAUGAGUCCCGAACGGGACGAAACGUGUUCCUGGAU